AUCCCUUGACAUCCUGCGAACUUUCUAGAGAUAGAUUGGUGCCUUCGGGAACGCAGUGACAGGUGCUGCAUGGCUGUCGUCAGCUCGUGCUGUGAAGUGUUCGGUUAAGUCCGGCAACGAGCGCAACCCACGUUGUUAGUUGCUACCAAGUAAUGUUGGGCACUCUAGCAAGACUGCCCGUGUCAAGCGGGAGGAAGGCGUGGAUGACGUCAAGUCCGUAUGGCCUUUAUAUCCAGGGCUGCACACGUGCUACAAUGGUCGGUACAAUGGGUCGCAAUACCGCGAGGUGGAGCUAAUCCUCAAAACCGUCCUUAGUUCGGAUUGUAGUCUGCAACUCGACUACAUGAAGUUGGAAUCGCUAGUAAAGGCGCAUCAGCUACGGCGCCUUGAAUACGUUCCCGGGCCU
rnacentral:rRNA from 1 species